AAAAGAAAAAAAUAAAGCAAGAAAAAAAGAAAAGAAAGACAAAAAAUAAAUCAGAAGGAACUGUAUGACAAUUAUGCAAACUGAGGGGAAGAGAGAGUAACCGUAGAAUGAAGGCUUUCCUUACUGUCGUAAGCGCUAGAGGGAUGCUUUGCUAGAAAAGUCUCCGUGUCGGGGCAGGGGUGAGGAGAGCUGAGGGGCGCUUUGCCUUCCCUCACCUGUGCGUUUUACCUCACGAGGCACCGUAAGUUUGAAGUCCUCCAAGUUGUGGUCGGCGCCAUCGUGACGCCGGCGACUGGAGCUAUUUUUUUCCUGUAAAUGAGGCACUUUAAUAUAAGCACACUUUUGCACUGUAAAGUGGAAGAGGAUUUGAUAUCGAUGUCUUCCAGGUUUUGGGGUACAUGUGAAGAACAGAAGAACAUGCAGGAUUGUUGCAUAGUCUACUCAACAUGAAGAAAAGGAUGAAGACCUUUCUGAAGAUCCACAUACACUUAAUGAAGAGUAGAUAUAUUUUCUCAUUCUUAUGAUUUUCUUCACAACAUUUUCUUUUUCUUACUUUAAGAAUACAGUAUAAUACACAUAUACACAAAAUGUGUUCAUUACUGUUCAUUUUUACCAUAAAGCUUUUGAUCAACAAUAGGUUAUUCAUGGUUAAGUUUUUAGGGGGUCAAAAGUCAAACAUGAAUUUUCAACUGUAGGAGGAGGUUUGCACCCCUAACCUUUGUGAUAUUGAAUAAUCA